rnacentral:piRNA from 1 species
UACAUUGUUCUCACAUUCUUCCUCUAAUU